UAAAUCCAGACUUUUGAGGGUGGAGAUAGAAGGAUUAGAAGCUCCUCUGAGGGCUCAUUAAUCUUACGAAGCUCUUUUUAAAACCGGCCGAUCGUACCUAAAACCCGCCGCAGAUGAGACGAUAACAAAGCUGUUUGCUUGAUCUUUCCUUCUGUACAUGUGGAAACCUGCAGGGAGGAAAAGUACUUCUUUGCAGGAGGUUCAUUAGCUCUUCACUGGAGGUGCACUGAUACCUUUUCUGUUUCCUCCAGAAGUAGCUCACCCAGCAAAUCAGUGCAUCUGCACUCCCCAAAGAGCGAACAAUUAGUUUUGGGGUUUUCGCUGCAGCAGCUCGGCCACAGAGGAUGGAUUUAUCAGAGAAACGAGCUUCUGCACAUGAUAUAUUUCCAUCAACUUGCAGAUUUCUUAUGAACGUCGCUCAGAG